rnacentral:rRNA from 1 species
GACGUAGGGUGCGAGCGUUGUCCGGAUUUAUUGGGCGUAAAGAGCUCGUAGGCGGCUCGUCGCGUCGACCGUGAAAACUUGGGGCUUAACCCUAAGCUUGCGGUUGAUACGGGCGGGCUAGAGUUCGGUAGGGGAGACUGGAAUUCCUGGUGUAGCGGUGAAAUGCGCAGAUAUCGGGAGGAACACCAGUGGCGAAGGCGAGUCUCUGGGAUGAUGCUGACGCUGAGGCGCGAAAGCGUGGGGAGCAAACGGG